rnacentral:tRNA from 1 species
GGCGAGAUAGCUCAGUUGGUCAGAGCGUCGGAUUCAUAACCCGGAGGUCGGGAGUUCAAGUCUCCCUCUCGCUA